rnacentral:rRNA from 1 species
CGGACGGGUGAGUAACGCGUGGAUAACCUGCCGUAUACCGGGGGAUAACACUUAGAAAUAGGUGCUAAUACCGCAUAAGCGCACGGCUCCGCAUGGGGCAGUGUGAAAAACUCCGGUGGUAUACGAUGGAUCCGCGUCUGAUUAGCUAGUUGGCGGGGUAACGGCCCACCAAGGCAGCGAUCAGUAGCCGGCCUGAGAAGGUGGACGGCCACAUUGGGACUGAGACACGGCCCAAACUCCUACGGAAGGCAGCAG